rnacentral:rRNA from 1 species
CUGGCGGCAGGCCUAAUACAUGCAAGUCGAGCGCGCCCUUCGGGGUGAGCGGCGGACGGGUGAGUAACGCGUGGGAAUAUGCCCUUCUCUAAGGAAUAGCCUCUGGAAACGGAGAGUAAUACCUUAUACGCCCUUUGGGGGAAAGAUUUAUCGGAGAAGGAUUAGCCCGCGUUAGAUUAGGUAGUUGGUGGGGUAAUGGCCUACCAAGCCUACGAUCUUUAGCUGGUUUUAGAGGAUGAUCAGCAACACUGGGACUGAGACACGGCCCAGACUCCUACGGGAGGCAGCAGUGGGGAAUCUUAGACAAUGGGCGCAAGCCUGAUCUAGCCAUGCCGCGUGAGUGAAGAAGGCCUUAGGGUCGUAAAACUCUUUCGCCAGAGAUGAUAAUGACAGUAUCUGGUAAAGAAACCCCGGCUAACUCCGUGCCAGCAGCCGCGGUAAUACGGAGGGGGUUAGCGUUGUUCGGAAUUACUGGGCGUAAAGCGCACGUAGGCGGACUGGAAAGUUGGGGGUGAAAUCCCGGGGCUCAACCUCGGAACUGCCUCCAAAACUAUCAGUCUAGAGUUCGAGAGAGGUGAGUGGAAUUCCAAGUGUAGAGGUGAAAUUCGUAGAUAUUUGGGAGGACACCAGUGGCGAAGGCGGCUCACUGGCUCGAUACUGACGCUGAGGUGCGAAAGUGUGGGGAGCAAACAGGAUUAGAUACCCUGGUAGUCCACACCGUAAACGAUGAAUGCCAGUCGUCGGGCAGUAUACUGUUCGGUGAC